rnacentral:rRNA from 1 species
AACAAACGCUGGCGGCGUGCCUAACACAUGCAAGUCGUGCGAGAAAGUCCCCUUCGGGGGGCGAGUAAAGCGGCGAAAGGGUGAGUAACACGUGGGUAACCUGCCCCUGGGAUCGGGAUAACGUGCCGAAAGGUGCGCUAAUACCGGUUAAGACCACACGGACCAUGUCCGAGCGGUAAAAGAUGGCCUCUCGAUGAAGCUAUUACCUGGGGAUGGGCCCGCGGCCUAUUAGCUAGUUGGUAGGGUAACGGCCUACCAAGGCUAUGAUGGGUAGCCGGCCUGAGAGGGUGUACGGCCACACUGGAACUGAGACACGGUCCAGACACCUACGGGUGGCUG